AUUGAACGCUGGCGGCAUGCCUUACACAUGCAAGUCGAACGGCAGCACGGGUGCUUGCACCUGGUGGCGAGUGGCGAACGGGUGAGUAAUACAUCGGAACGUACCUUAUCGUGGGGGAUAACGCAGCGAAAGCUGUGCUAAUACCGCAUACGCCCUGAGGGGGAAAGCGGGGGAUCGAAAGACCUCGCGCGACUAGAGCGGCCGAUGCCUGAUUAGCUUGUUGGUGGGGUAAAAGCCCACCAAGGCGACGAUCAGUAGCUGGUCUGAGAGGACGAUCAGCCACGCUGGGACUGAGAGACGGCCCGGACUCCUAGGGGAGGCAGCAGUGGGGAAUUUUGGACGAUGGGGGCAACCCUGAUCCAGCAAUGCCGCGUGAGGUAAGAAGGCCUUCGGGUUGUAAAGCUCUUUUGUCAGGGAAGAAACACCGGCUCUAACACAGUCCGGGAAUGACGGUACCUGAAGAAUAAGCACCGGCUAACUACGUGCCAGCCGCCGCCGUAA
rnacentral:rRNA from 1 species